GGAAUAUUGGACAAUGGGCGAAAGCCUGAUCCAGCCAUGCCGCGUGUGUGAAGAAGGUCUUCGGAUUGUAAAGCACUUUAAGUUGGGAGGCAGGGUAGUAACUUAAUACGUUGCUAUUUUGACGUUACCGACAGAAUAAGCACCGGCUAACUCCGUGCCAGCAGCCGCGGUAAGACGGAGGGUGCUAGCGUUGUUCGGAAUCACUGGGCGUAAAGGGCGCGUAGGCGGCCUUUGGUGUCGGAUGGGAAAGCCCGGGGCUCAACUCCGGAGGUGCAUCCGAAACUCGAAGGCUGGAGGCCGGAAGAGGAGGGUGGAAUACCCAGUGUAGAGGUGAAAUUCGUAGAUAUCGGGUGGAACACCGGUGGCGAAAGCGGCUCUCUGGUCCGGUCCUGACGCUGAGGCGCGAAAGCGUGGGGAGCAAAC
rnacentral:rRNA from 1 species